rnacentral:rRNA from 1 species
UACAGAGGGUGCGAGCGUUGUUCGGAAUUAUUGGGCGUAAAGGGCGCGUAGGCGGUGCGGUAAGUCACCUGUGAAAUCUCCUGGCUCAACUGGGAGCUUGCAGGCGAAACUGCCGUGCUGGAGUGUGGGAGAGGUGCGUGGAAUUCCUGGUGUAGCGGUGAAAUGCGUAGAUAUCAGGAGGAACACCUGUGGCGAAAGCGGCGCACUGGACCACAACUGACGCUGAGGCGCGAAAUCUAGGGGAGCAAACAGG